rnacentral:rRNA from 1 species
CCUACGGGAGACUGCAGUGAGGAAUAUUGGUCAAUGGGCUUACGCCUGAACCAGCCAAGUCGCGUGAGGGAAGACUGCCCUAUGGGUUGUAAACCUCUUUUGUCAGGGAGCAACGCCGGCUACGUGUAGCCGGACUGAGAGUACCUGAAGAAAAAGCAUCGGCUAACUCCGUGCCAGCAGCCGCGGUAAUACGGAGGAUGCGAGCGUUAUCCGGAUUGAUUGGGUUUAAAGGGUGCGUAGGCGGAAUGCCAAGUCAGCGGUAAAAUCGCGGGGCUCAACCUCGCUCCGCCGUUGAAACUGGCGUUCUUGAGUGGGCGAGAAGUAUGCGGAAUGCGUGGUGUAGCGGUGAAAUGCAUAGAUAUCACGCAGAACUCCGAUUGCGAAGGCAGCAUACCGGCGCCCAACUGACGCUGAAGCACGAAAGCGUGGGUAUCGAACAGGAUUAGAUACCCCAGUAGUC